UGGGCUUAUAGGUUCAGAGAUUCAGUUCAUUAUCACCAUGGCAGCUUCCAGGCAGACACUGCUAUAGGAGCUAAGAUUUCUGCAUCUUGUUUGAACGCAAACAGGAAAAAACUGGCUUCCAGGCAGCAAGGAGAAGGGUCUCACAUUUCCUCCAACAAGGCCACAUGUCCUAAUAGUACCACUCCCUGAGGCAACCAUAUUCAAGCCCCUGGGGUGUAGUGGGACACACCUAUAAUCCUAACUGUCGGGAGGCGGAGGUAGGCGAAUCUGUGAGUUUGAGGCCAUCCUGUUCUACAGAGUGAAUUCCAGCACAGCCAGGGCCAUGAAGAAACAGUGUGUGUGUGUGUGUCUGUGUGUGUGUGUGUGUUGCAUGCAUUUAAGUGUGCAGGUGUGUGCAUCUUCUGUGUGCAUUCAGGCUGAGUGCGAGUGUGUAGUCACGAAGGACCAGAACGUGAGCUGAGGUGUCUGGCUCUAUCCUUGUCUCUCCUGUUCGCUUAAGACAGUCUCUCACUGAACUGAAGGCUGACUGACUGUCUAGGGAGCUGGGGUGAGCCUCUCUCCACCACACAACACUAGGGUUACACGAAGGUGCAGCCAGGCUGGGCUCUCCGUGGAUGUAGGGGAUUUUAGCUCAUGUUCCCAUGCUUGAACGUCAAGUGCUCUUACCCACAGAGCACCUCUCAGCUCCUGCUUUGGUUUUUAGGGUCUCACAUUCCAGGUUGGUCCCCAAAUCACUGUAGCAAAGAGUAAUGUUGAACUCGAGAUCCUCCUGUUUCUACUGGCCAGGACUGGUACUGCCAUGCCAGUUCACAGGGCUUUAGGCUUCCCAUUCAUUCAUUCAUUCAUUCACUAAGGGAGCAAGACAGAGACACAAGCUGUAACAUGGAUGAACCUUGAGAACACUGAGUGGAGGCAGCCAGGCACAAAAGGCCACUGCAGGAUUGUUUACAUGAAAUAUCCCAAGGAUGGAGUAGUUUUGGCUUGUCUGGCAGGGAGGAGGCAAUGGGACAUGACCAUGUAAUGGGGGCAGAGUUGCCCUUUGGGGGAUGCUGAGACUCUCAGGGAACUAGACAGAGAUGAUAGCAGCUUGACUUUGUGGUUGCACUAACUGCCCUGGCACUGUGGGAUUCCUUUCAUCUCUAGUUACAGAUAAGAACUCUGAGGUUCUGAUGACAGGCAACUGGGGAAGCUGCAUGGCUAACCUCAUAAGCCCCACCAUUUGCCUGUGACUUUAUUUAACUUUUGUGGUAGCGGGGAUUGAACCUAGCACUUCUCUCAUGCUGGGAAAAUUCUAUACCCAGUCACUCUCUUCUUUUACUUUGUGUGUGUGUGUGUUUCUUUGAGACAGAGUCUCCUGUAGUCUAGGCUGACCUGGAAAUUAUAUUCAGGGCUGACCUUAAACUUCAACUCCUGAAAAAAAAUUAAGCCCUGAGCAUUUUAUCCUUGGCUAACCCUGCUAAUUCCUCCUGCCUGCCCCACUCCUCAGAGGGCAGCUACUUGGGGUUCCCUGUUGCUCCAUCUCUUCCAUUUCUUCAGAGAAACAGCUUGAGAGCUCCGUUUAAUCCAGUCACUGACUAUGCAUGACAUGGCUGGUCACCAGGCAGAGUGACAGACCCUGAAGCAAGCAGCUGCUCUCUGAAUGGAUUGGUGCAGAGCCUGCAGGGCUAGAUGGGCACAGCCUCCCCACCUCCACACCGACUUGCAUGCAAAGGAUCCAGAGAGAUGGUCUGUGAAGAACAUUUCUGUAAGGACACAUGCUGUCCAAGAUACCAGCAAAUCAGAGUGACUGGCAUUUUCGGCUGUAGCAAACGUGGCUCAGUGGUGAAGAACAUGGACUUUGAGGCCAGAGUCCUGAUGACAUUUACCUUGGUGGCUUGGCAGGAGCUGAUGGUUGUGAGCCUACUGCAGAGUCCACACCUGGUCCUGGGGAGAAAGAAGCCAUUGAAGCCUCGCCAGCCUCGUGGUCACGGGCAAAAGACAAUGUUCGCAUGAGCUGCUGGGCAGAAGAAGAGAUUUGGCCACGUGGCCAGGAGGAUCACAAGUCCAUGGCCAGCCUGGGCACCUCAUUGAGAGGAGACGCUGUUUGAAGAAAAGCUCUUCCAGGGCCCCUGGCUGUCUAUGGGAAGGAUCGCUGCGGAAGGCCGCGCAGGAAGCGUCGGCAGAUUCUAAGGACGGCAGAUAUUGCUGAACUGAGCUUUUAAGAGGCAGAGAGUCAGGGAGGGCCUUGUCUUUCCUGACUCUGCCCCAUAACUUGACCCUGUUCCAUCAGACAAGAGCAGUUCUGGAUCAGAGCUUUUGACUGUGGGAUGGCAACCCCAUCCCUCCACUUGGGGUAUAGAACUAAACAGAAUUCGCAACA